rnacentral:lncRNA from 12 species
AUGGAUUUUGGGAUGGAUUUUGGGAUGGAUUUUGGGAUGGAUUUUGGGAUGGAUUUUGGGAUGGAUUUUGGGAUGGAUCCCGGGGGAUUUUGGGAUGGAUCCCGGGGGAUUUUGGGAUGGAUCCCGGGGGGAUUUUGGGAUGGAUUUUGGGAUGGAUUUUGGGUGGGUCCCGGGGUGGGAGGGGUCGCACCGGGCAGGGACCCCGGGGUGCUCGGGGCACGGGGAGGUCACAGCCUUGGGGACACCGCCAGGAGCUCGGUGACAGCUCGGGGGACAUUCCCAAGAGCUGUGGCCGCUCAGGUGACAUCACCAGGAGCCUGGUGGCGCCUCAGGUGACAUCGCUGGGAGCUUGGUGGCCGCUCAGGUGACAUCCCGGGGAGCUUGGUGGCCGCUCAGGUGACAUUCUCCAGCCCGGUGGCCCCUCAGGUGACACCCCCCCAGCCCAGGGCCACCCUCCAGCUCACCCCAAAAAAGCCCUGGGGGAGCUCUGGGGAGCGGUGUCCCCUGGCGGGGGAGGCGCUGGGGACACUUGGGGACAUUUCUGAGCACAGUGGAGCCCUCCCCAUUUUAGGGGAAAAAUUGGGGGAUUUUGGGGGAGUGCAGGAGGAAGAGGAGCCCUCCCCAUUUUAGGGGAAAUUUUGGGGAUUUUUGGGGGUGUUGGGAUGGGCAGGAGGAAGAGGAUCCCUCCCCAUUUUAGGGGAAAUUUUGGGGAUUUUUGGGGGUGUUGGGAUGGGCAGGAGGAAGAGGAGCCCUCCUCGUUCUGGGGGGAAAUUUUGGGGGGCGCAGGCCCCCCCCCCCCCCCCCCCCCCCCCCCCCCCCCCCCCCCCCCCCCCCCCCCCCCCCCCCCCCCCC